rnacentral:rRNA from 1 species
UCGAGCGGACAGAUGGGAGCUUGCUCCCUGAUGUUAGCGGCGGACGGGUGAGUAACACGUGGGUAACCUGCCUGUAAGACUGGGAUAACUCCGGGAAACCGGGGCUAAUACCGGAUGCUUGAUUGAACCGCAUGGUUCAAUUAUAAAAGGUGGCUUUUAGCUACCACUUACAGAUGGACCCGCGGCGCAUUAGCUAGUUGGUGAGGUAACGGCUCACCAAGGCGACGAUGCGUAGCCGACCUGAGAGGGUGAUCGGCCACACUGGGACUGAGACACGGCCCAGACUCCUACGGGAGGCAGCAGUAGGGAAUCUUCCGCAAUGGACGAAAGUCUGACGGAGCAACGCCGCGUGAGUGAUGAAGGUUUUCGGAUCGUAAAACUCUGUUGUUAGGGAAGAACAAGUACCGUUCGAAUAGGGCGGUACCUUGACGGUACCUAACCAGAAAGCCACGGCUAACUACGUGCCAGCAGCCGCGGUAAUACGUAGGUGGCAAGCGUUGUCCGGAAUUAUUGGGCGUAAAGCGCGCGCAGGCGGUUUCUUAAGUCUGAUGUGAAAGCCCCCGGCUCAACCGGGGAGGGUCAUUGGAAACUGGGGAACUUGAGUGCAGAAGAGGAGAGUGGAAUUCCACGUGUAGCGGUGAAAUGCGUAGAGAUGUGGAGGAACACCAGUGGCGAAGGCGACUCUCUGGUCUGUAACUGACGCUGAGGCGCGAAAGCGUGGGGAGCGAACAGGAUUAGAUACCCUGGUAGUCCACGCCGUAAACGAUGAGUGCUAAGUGUUAGAGGGUUUCCGCCCUUUAGUGCUGCAGCAAACGCAUUAAGCACUCCGCCUGGGGAGUACGGUCGCAAGACUGAAACUCAAAGGAAUUGACGGGGGCCCGCACAAGCGGUGGAGCAUGUGGUUUAAUUCGAAGCAACGCGAAGAACCUUACCAGGUCUUGACAUCCUCUGACAACCCUAGAGAUAGGGCUUCCCCUUCGGGGGCAGAGUGACAGGUGGUGCAUGGUUGUCGUCAGCUCGUGUCGUGAGAUGUUGGGUUAAGUCCCGCAACGAGCGCAACCCUUGAUCUUAGUUGCCAGCAUUCAGUUGGGCACUCUAAGGUGACUGCCGGUGACAAACCGGAGGAAGGUGGGGAUGACGUCAAAUCAUCAUGCCCCUUAUGACCUGGGCUACACAC